rnacentral:rRNA from 1 species
UACAGAGGAGCCAAGCGUUGUCCGGAUUGACUGGGCGUAAAGCGCACGCAGGCGGAUGCGCGCGUGGGGUGUGAAAUCUGGCCGCUUAACGGCCAGGCGCCAUCCCAUACGGCGCGUCUGGAGUGAUGCAGAGGUCGGUGGAAUUGCCGGUGUAGUGGUGAAAUGCGUAGAGAUCGGCAGGAACACCCAGGGGGAAACCAGCCGACUGGGCAUCUACUGACGCUGAGGUGCGAGAGCGUGGGGAGCGAACUGG